rnacentral:rRNA from 1 species
CUUACGGAAAACUUACAGCCCUUGACAUGUCCCGUACGGGGCCGAGAGAUCGGCCUCAUCAGUUCGGCUGGCGGGAACACAGGUGCUGCAUGGCUGUCGUCAGCUCGUGUCGUGAGAUGUUGGGUUAAGUCCCGCAACGAGCGCAACCCUCACCUUCAGUUGCCAUCAGGUUAAGCUGGGCACUCUGAAGGAACUGCCGGUGACAAGCCGGAGGAAGGCGGGGAUGACGUCAAGUCCUCAUGGCCUUUAUGGGCUGGGCUACACACGUGCUACAAUGGCGGUGACAGAGGGAGGCAAAGGGGCGACCCCUAGCCAAUCUCGAAAAGCCGUCUCAGUUCGGAUUGUUCUCUGCAACUCGAGAGCAUGAAGCUGGAAUCGCUAGUAAUCGCGGAUCAGCACGCCGCGGUGAAUACGUUCCCGGGUCUUGUACACACCG